rnacentral:rRNA from 1 species
AGGACGAACGCUGGCGGCGUGCCUAACACAUGCAAGUCGAACGGGGUCCAUCCGGUGGCAACACCGGAGAAGACCCAGUGGCGAACGGGUGCGGAACACGUGAGCAACCUGCCCCGAAGAUCGGGAUAACGGCGGGAAACUGCCGCUAAUACCGAAUGCCCCCACGAGCCCGCAUGGGUUUGUGAGGAAAGGAUUCUGCUUCGGGAGGGGCUCGCGGCCUAUCAGCUUGUUGGUGGGGUAACGGCCUACCAAGGCGACGACGGGUAGCUGGUCUGAGAGGACGAUCAGCCACACUGGGACUGAGACACGGCCCAGACUCCUACGGGAGGCAGC